GGGCAGCUAGCUCAGUGGUAGAGCACCUGGCACCGGUGUAGGAGGUCCUGGGUUCAAUCCCCGGCCUGUCCA
rfam:Selaginella moellendorffii unplaced genomic scaffold SELMOscaffold_0, whole genome shotgun sequence.